UACGGGGGGAGCAAGCGUUGUUCGGAUUUACUGGGCGUAAAGGGCGCGUAGGCGGCCAGCACAGGUCAGUUGUGAAAUCUCCGGGCUUAACUCGGAAAGGUCAACUGAUACUGUGCGGCUAGAGUGCAGAAGGGGCAACUGGAAUUCUCGGUGUAGCGGUGAAAUGCGUAGAUAUCGAGAGGAACACCGGCGGCGAAGGCGGGUUGCUGGGCUGACACUGACGCUGAUGCGCGAAAGCCAGGGGAGCGAACGGG
rnacentral:rRNA from 1 species